UACGGAAGGGGCAAGCGUUGUUCGGAAUCAUUGGGCGUAAAGGGCGCGCAGGUGGCUCUGUAUGUCUGCCGUGAAAGCAUACAGCUCAACUGUAUUGUGUCGGUAGAAACUGCAGGACUUGAGGCUGGGAGGGGCUGGUGGAAUUCCCUGUGUAGCGGCGAAAUGCGUAGAGAUGGGGGAGAACACUCGUGGCGAAGGCGGCCAGCUAGACCAGUUCUGACACUGAGGCGCGACAGCGUGGGGAGCAAACAGG
rnacentral:rRNA from 1 species